GACGAACCGAGCGAACGUUGUUCGGAAUCACUGGGCUUAAAGGGCGCGUAGGCGGGCUGUCAAGUCUGGGGUGAAAUCCCACGGCUCAACCGUGGAACUGCCUUAGAUACUGACGGCCUCGAGGGAGAUAGGGGCGAGCGGAACUGUGAGUGGAGCGGUGAAAUGCGUUGAUAUUCACAGGAACUCCGGUGGCGAAGGCGGCUCGCUGGAUCUUUUCUGACGCUGAGGCGCGAAAGCGUGGGGAGCAAACAGG
rnacentral:rRNA from 1 species